rnacentral:rRNA from 1 species
AACGAACGCUGGCGGCAUGCCUAACACAUGCAAGUCGAACGAGACCAUCGGGUCUAGUGGCGCACGGGUGCGUAACGCGUGGGAACCUGCCCUUAGGUUCGGAAUAACUCCCCGAAAGGGGUGCUAAUACCGGAUAAUGUCUUCGGACCAAAGAUUUAUCGCCUUUGGAUGGGCCCGCGUUGGAUUAGCUAGUUGGUAGGGUAAAAGCCUACCAAGGCGACGAUCCAUAGCUGGUCUGAGAGGAUGAUCAGCCACACUGGGACUGGGACACGGCCCAGACUCCUACGGGAAGCAGCAGUGGGGAAUAUUGGACAAUGGGCGAAAGCCUGAUCCAGCAAUGCCGCGUGAGUGAUGAAGGCCUUAGGGUUGUAAAGCUCUUUUACCCGGGAUGAUAAUGACAGUACCGGGAGAAUAAGCUCCGGCUAACUCCGUG